CGGCGAGUGAGCGGCAACGCUCAAAUUUGAAAUCUGGCUCGGCCCGGUUGUAAUUUGCAGAGGAGCUUUGGGCGCGGUGCCAACUGAGUCCCCUGGAACGGGGCGCCACAGAGGGUGAGAGCCCCGUAUAGUUGGACGCCUAGCCUGUGUAAAGCUCCUUCGACGAGUCGAGUAGUUUGGGAAUGCUGCUCAAAAUGGGAGGUAAAUUUCUUCUAAAGCUAAAUACCGGCCAGAGACCGAUAGCGCACAAGUAGAGUGAUCGAAAGAUGAAAAGCACUUUGAAAAGAGGGUUAAAUAGCACGUGAAAUUGUUGAAAGGGAAGCGCUUGUGACCAGACUUGCGCCCGGCUGAUCAUCCGGUGUUCUCACCGGUGCACUCUGCCGGGCUCAGGCCAGCAUCGGUUCUCGCGGGGGGACAAAGGCCCUGGGAACGUAGCUCCUCCGGGAGUGUUAUAGCCCAGGGUGUCAUACCCUCUCGGGGACCGAGGUUCGCGCAUCUGCAAGGAUGCUGGCGUAAUGGUCAUCAGCGAC
rnacentral:rRNA from 1 species